rfam:Gossypium raimondii Chr13_contig_617, whole genome shotgun sequence.
UAAAUGGAGAGUUCGAUCCCAGCUUAGGAUGAACACUGGCAGCAUGCUUGACACAUGCAAGUCGAACGAGAAGUGGUGUUUCCAGUGGCAGAUGGGUGAAUAAUGUGAAAUAACUUGCCCUUAGGAAGGGAACAACAGUUGGAAAUGAUUGCUAAUACCUCGUAACCUGAGGAACAAAAGGAGAAAUCCGCUUGAGGAGGGGCUUGCGUCUGAUUAGCUAGUUGGUGAGGCAAUGGCUUAUGAAGGCGAUGAUUAGUAGUUGGUCAGCGAGGAUGACCAGCCACAUUGGGACUAAUACACGACCCAAAAUCCUAUGGGAGGCAGUAGUGGGAAAUUUUUCGCAAUGGACGAAAGCCUAACGGAGUAAUAUCACGUAGAGGUAGAAGCCUGACCGGUCGUGAACUUCUUUUCUUGAAGAAGAAGCAACGAUGAUAUCUGGGGAAUAAGCAAUGGCUAACUUUGUGCCAACAGCCGCGGUAAUGCAGAGGAUGCAAGCGUUAUCCGAAAUGAUUGGGCGUAAAGCGUUUGUAGUUGACAAGUUAUCAUUAAAUUAUCUAUUCA